rnacentral:rRNA from 1 species
AACGAACGCUGGCGGCAUGCCUAACACAUGCAAGUCGAACGAGCCCUUCGGGGUUAGUGGCGCACGGGUGCGUAACGCGUGGGAAUCUGCCCUUGGGUACGGAAUAACAGCUAGAAAUGGCUGCUAAUACCGUAUGAUGUCUUCGGACCAAAGAUUUAUCGCCCAGGGAUGAGCCCGCGUAGGAUUAGCUAGUUGGUGUGGUAAAGGCGCACCAAGGCGACGAUCCUUAGCUGGUCUGAGAGGAUGAUCAGCCACACUGGGACUGAGACACGGCCCAGACUCCUACGGGAGGCAGCAGUGGGGAAUAUUGGACAAUGGGCGCAAGCCUGAUCCAGCAAUGCCGCGUGAGUGAAGAAGGCCUUCGGGUUGUAAAGCUCUUUUACCCGGGAAGAUAAUGACUGUACCGGGAGAAUAAGCCCCGGCUAACUCCGUGCCAGCAGCCGCGGUAAUAC